GGAUGUGUCUGUGGCAUGUGAAUGUGGUACCCUGAGCGUUGCGAUGGCACAAUAAUGCAGACAAGUGUCCCUUGGUGAUUAAAAUAAGCUGCAAUCUUCACCACCCUAGUGCUUACGCGCGUGUGUAUCAGCCAAAUAUAUAUUUAACACAAAAAAAACUUUUGACAAUUCCUAAUUGAUUGUCUACACAAGAUUAUGCAAAACGUUCAGGAAGGUAGGUUUUACGGAAAGGUUAACAAGGGUUUUCAUAAAGAACGGAUAGCGGGAGGUCAUAGAAAGAUUGAGAUUAUGAAAGCGCGCACUCACACCCACAGGGCCAGCACCUAUCCAAUGAACCCCGCUACGUAGACGACUACGGGCGCGUUGCCCGGAGGACCCGGGUCGGAGAGCGUCCCAGGCCGGCGCUGGAACACUUCGACCGAGCUCUCGACUCGCUGGCCGGACUCGAACAUCGCCUCCGGUGGCAGGUUGUCCAACGUCACCAGGUCAACUGCGGUGUGCGAGGUCCACCUGCCUCCUGGAGCAGCGAGGUGAACAGCAUCGGGUGUCCCACGCCCAAGUCAGGCCACAGCUGCCAAUUGCGAGCAACAGCAACGGGCUCACCGGAAGUGGCGAUUACGGAGAGGAUGUCCCCACCACGGACUUCAAACGGCAAAUCCCUCGAUCGGGAGCAACUUGGUGCGAGAUCACCGAACAGCCGCUGACCCAGGCUGGAGAGGUUCAGCUCGAAUGUCGAGUCUCGAACCUGCGUCAGAGUGGCCACAUUUAUCGUCACGACAACGAGGCAAUUGACACCAUUGCUGGAAAUGCCGACAGACGCGUUGUUAUUUCCCCACACACACACACAAUAAUAAAGAGACUCAGAACAGCGCUGGCCACAAGGCCAGAAGAGGACGAUAUCGGCGUGCAGCGCCGAUGACGUACAAAACGACUAACGUAGCACGAGUCCAACCCGUAAGUAUUUGUGGGGAGAUCUUUGCGUAGCCUAAGGAGAGUUUUGGGCGAGUCAUCGAAAUAUAGCACCGAUAACAAGGGAGCUUGCCGAGUUAUCGAGCUGGUAAAGGCAGGGGAAAGACAAGGGAUGGAAUGAAAUGGUGGUGGGUGCCAUUGUUUGUUCAAAGAACUGAAAACCGCGUACGCCUUCGAAAUUUGAUGUACUGACAGCAGCGUGUGCCGUUCGUGUAGUGGGUUUUUCACAUGCUCACGAAGGUGGUUUAGGACCCCUCUUAACCCUUCAAUGUCCCCGGCAUCUUCUGUAUGCUGCGUCGUUUCAGAAUUCGAAAUUUAACUUUGCGCACGUCAAGCGCAAGUAGCGAUGUUAAUUGGCUGGAUUCGGGUGUCAGGUGUGCGUAGCUUAGAAAUAAUACCUGCAGUGGCGAUUAUGCUUACUCGUAUAUUCCGUUAAAUUUAGCGCAAAUAUGUCGGAAAAAGAGUUGUGAAUUUCCCUUCAUGUAGACGUGUGUUUGGGCAUUACAGGGUUAAAUACUUCCCCCUUAUAUGCUUUUGGUGUCGAUGUUGUUCGGUGCUUUGAACCUCAAUCUCUACCAAGUAUUUAGAAACUUCAGCAGCCAGCGGCAUCGUACGCGGACAACGAAACUUGCGACGCGCGUCUUGCAUUCCUAUUCACAGCGCAUCUUGAAGACGUACGACAGGUUUAGUACGAUGAGAAGUGUCUCGUGAUGGCUUAUGACACGCGCCGCUUGACUGGUGCCUACGUAUUGAUUGCGUAGACGGGAAAGGUAUCCGUGCCAUUGGCAUGUUGCGUAAGCUAAGCAGUCGCCGUAUGAGAAUGGAGAGGCACUGCAUUGUCGCGUGUGCUUUCGUACUAUUUUGUGGUUUCAUCGCGCAGAUUUGUGGUGCUCCGCGCGCCUUUUCCCUUGGAACAAACACCUGUACGCUCCUGCUUCUCCGAAGCUCUUCGAAUUGUUCUGCCUGUAGAGUCGAGAUUUCCUUCCCUCGUGCAGCUAAUGCAUUUCGGCUCUUGCAAAUGUUCUUGAGAAUUUACGGAGCCGCCGCUAAGACUUUCUGAAACUUCCCCGCCAGCGUUAAUUCUAUGAAUUGGAUGUCAUAUCAUUGUGAUGCAAAAUUUCUCCAGCACAUUUUGCGACAUGUGCGCAUAUGCCGACUACAAACUAAAAGCUGUGAAGGGUUGUCCCACCGGCAGAGCCUCAUCUUUAUUUUCGUGUGUGACUCACUCGGAGAUAUGCUUUGCAUUGUGUACGAAUGCUUACGAGAUUGGAAAUAAACUUCAAGUGAA